GUCCCCAUCGUCUAGCGGUCAGGACGCCGCCCUUUCAAGGCGGAAACACGGGUUCAAUUCCCGUUGGGGGCACCA
rnacentral:tRNA from 2 species